rnacentral:rRNA from 1 species
CAGCAGCCGCGGUAAUACGUAGGGUGCGAGCGUUAAUCGGAUUUACUGGGCGUAAAGCGUGCGCAGGCGGCCCGUUAAGACAGGUGUGAAAUCCCUGGGCUCAACCUAGGAAUUGCGCUUGUGACUGGCGGGCUCGAGUACGGUAGAGGGGGGUGGAAUUCCUGGUGUAGCAGUGAAAUGCGUAGAGAUCCGGAGGAACACCGAUGGCGAAGCCAGCCCCCUGGGCCUGUACUGACGCUCAUGCACGAAAGCGUGGGGAGCAAACAGGAUUAGAUACCCUGGUAGUCCACGCCCUAAACGAUGGGUACUAGCCGUUUGGUGCGCGAUAGCGCUGAGUGGCGAAGCUAACGCGAGAAGUACCCCGCCUGGGGAGUACGGCCGCAAGGUUGAAACUUAAAGGAAUUGGCGGG